rnacentral:rRNA from 1 species
UGGGGAAUAUUGCACAAUGGGCGCAAGCCUGAUGCAGCCAUGCCGCGUGUGUGAAGAAGGCCUUCGGGUUGUAAAGCACUUUCAGCGAGGAGGAAGGUGGUGAGCUUAAUACGCUCAUCAAUUGACGUUACUCGCAGAAGAAGCACCGGCUAACUCCGUGCCAGCAGCCGCGGUAAUACGGAGGGUGCAAGCGUUAAUCGGAAUUACUGGGCGUAAAGCGCACGCAGGCGGUUUGUUAAGUCAGAUGUGAAAAUCCCCGGGCUCAACCUGGGAACUGCAUUUGAAACUGGCAAGCUAGAGUCUCGUAGAGGGGGGUAGAAUUCCAGGUGUAGCGGUGAAAUGCGUAGAGAUCUGGAGGAAUACCGGUGGCGAAGGCGGCCCCCUGGACGAAGACUGACGCUCAGGUGCGAAAGCGUGGGGCAGCAAACAGGAUUAGAUACCCUGGUAGUCCAGCGCUGUAAACGAUGUCGAUUUGGAGGUUGUGCCCUUGAGGCGUGGCUUCCGGAGCUAACGCGUUAAAUCGACCGCC